rnacentral:rRNA from 1 species
UACGUAGGGCGCAAGCGUUGUCCGGAAUUAUUGGGCGUAAAGGGCAAGUAGGUGGUCUCAUUUGUCUGGGGUGAAAGCCUUGAGCUUAACUCAAGAAGUGCCCCGGAAACGGUGAGACUCGAGUACUGGAGAGGGUCGUGGAAUUCCCGGUGUAGCGGUGAAAUGCGUAGAGAUCGGGAGGAACACCUGAGGCGAAGGCGGCGACCUGGACAGUUACUGACACUCAACUGCGAAAGCGUGGGGAGCAAACAGG